GACGAACGCUGGCGGCGUGCUUAACACAUGCAAGUCGAACGGAAAGGCCCUGCUUUUGUGGGGUGCUCGAGUGGCGAACGGGUGAGUAACACGUGAGUAACCUGCCCUUGAUUUUGGGAUAACUUCAGGAAACUGGGGCUAAUACCGGAUAGGAGCUCCUGCUGCAUGGGGGGGGUUGGAAAGUUUCGGCGGUUGGGGAUGGACUCGCGGCUUAUCAGCUUGUUGGUGGGGUAGUGGCUUACCAAGGCUUUGACGGGUAGCCGGCCUGAGAGGGUGACCGGCCACAUUGGGACUGAGAUACGGCCCAGACUCCUACGGGAGGCAGCAGUGGGGAAUAUUGCACAAUGGGCGGAAGCCUGAUGCAGCAACGCCGCGUGCGGGAUGACGGCCUUCGGGUUGUAAACCGCUUUCGCCUGUGACGAAGCGUGAGUGACGGUAAUGGGUAAAGAAGCACCGGCUAACUACGUG
rnacentral:rRNA from 1 species